rnacentral:rRNA from 1 species
GUGCCAGCAGCCGCGGUAAGACGUAGGUGGCAAGCGUUGUUCGGAAUCACUGGGCAUAAAGCGCACGUAGGCGGCCAAGUAAGUCAGGUGUGAAAUACCUCGGCUCAACCGAGGAACUGCGCCUGAUACUGCUUGGCUUGAGGUCCGGAGGGGAGAGUGGAAUUCCCGGUGGAGCGGUGAAAUGCGUAGAGAUCGGGAAGAACGCCGGCGGCGAAAGCGACUCUCUGGUCGGAAUCUGACGCUGAGGUGCGAAAGCUAGGGGAGCAAACGGGAUUAGAUACCCCAGUAGUCC